CGUUACUGUUAUUAACGCAAAUGAGUGAGAAUAUAAUAUUAUAAAGUGUUUCAUGAACAAUUUUAUUGGGACAAAGCUAGCCGUUCUUUUGCUAGACAAGCCAGCCGUAGCGCUUGUAGAAAAGAAUACCUACGAAUGUGUUUAUAUAAGCUAUCGUAAAGUCCUCGAGCUCCCCUGUGCUCGAGUGGCUUCCGUGUCAGCGGAGUUACAGCGCAGUAGCAGACGACGCCAGAGCGCCGGUUCUGAAGCCGAGCGACGCCACAGCCUGCAUACGGCUCCGACACGAGCCAGCUCUUCCCCCGACAACCAACAGAAUAUUUCGUACAGAACCGAUGCAGUGCAUCCUUCGUCUAGUUGCCAAACUGACGUGUCUUCGUCGCAGCACAUGGAUAGCCCAAUUAAUUUGCACUUCACUGAACUACUUUCAGAAUACGUAAUUAUCGAAACCAAAUUUUUAAUGUAAUAAAACUUUUUAAACACUGUUGACGAGUAAGAAAAAUGUCACAAAUGAUGCUAGAUUAAAUUUAUUAGAGUAAUCACCAAACUUUUUAUAUUUUUACUACCAAUAUGUAUCUGUUAAUAUUUACAAAAAUUAUCAAUAUGAAAUAAGAACAAGAGCGGUGCGCUGUGGCGCUGAUGCGGCGCGGUUGCCGGCUAAAAAUAUACGAUUCAUUCUGUUUGUCGAAUGUAGUUCAACGCUUAAUUUUAGAGUAUAUUGCAACGUGUUCUUACAGAUAUUAUAUUUAGUUUGCAGAAAAAAAUUAAAUAUUAUUUAAAUAAACGGGUAACAUUGAUGAAAGGAGUACUAUACCAGAUGUUAAAUUAUUCUGAGGCAACGGUUCCACUUUCUUUGCUACUGAUGACGUCACACAAGAAACAGCUUGCAACGUGUGAAAAUCUACUAAAAUAUGUGUCGCUAAUCGACUCGGCUUUAUGCACUACGAGCAUUGACCAGCGACGAUAAUCAUGAAAGACAAAUACGAAUCUACUUGUUGCAUGCGUUCCGUCAUCGUUAACCAGUAGCUAGCUUUCAAUAUACAUGUCAAUAAAAGCUUCUGUUACACUUUGAUUUUAAAAUAAAUUUAUAUUAAAGGAGAGGUUAAGACGGACAAUUUAAGGAGCAUCAGUUAUAAAUUAGGUUCUCUAACAGAUAAAACACCAUCUCAUGUUCGUUACAAAAACUAUGAAUAUUCUAGUAAACUGCCACAAACAAAUAAAACCAGACAUGCAGCAAUCAAACUUAGCUUUGUUAAUAAUUCCAGGAUAUAUUAUUACAGAAUAUGUUUAAAACUAGUUGAGAAAAACUUUGAAAAGUCAAGUUACAUCGCCGCCAAUUCUUUCUUGACUGUGGCAUUGUAGGUGGCUGUCACCGCACCAACGUCAAAGGGACCCUCGUCACGGAGAGACCCUCGCGGUGACUUCUCCCCACCUUGUUUUAACUUCAGGCGAAUCUCACGCAUGCGACUUUC